rnacentral:rRNA from 1 species
GAUGAACGCUGGCGGCGUGCCUAAUACAUGCAAGUCGAGCGAACAGACGAGGAGCUUGCUCCUCUGACGUUAGCGGCGGACGGGUGAGUAACACGUGGAUAACCUACCUAUAAGACUGGGAUAACUUCGGGAAACCGGAGCUAAUACCGGAUAAUAUAUUGAACCGCAUGGUUCAAUAGUGAAAGACGGUUUUGCUGUCACUUAUAGAUGGAUCCGCGCCGCAUUAGCUAGUUGGUAAGGUAACGGCUUACCAAGGCAACGAUGCGUAGCCCACCUGAGAGGGUGAUCGGCCACACUGGAACUGAGACACGGUCCAGACUCCUACGGGAGGCAGCAGUAGGGAAUCUUCCGCAAUGGGCGAAAGCCUGACGGAGCAACGCCGCGUGAGUGAUGAAGGUCUUCGGAUCGUAAAACUCUGUUAUUAGGGAAGAACAAAUGUGUAAGUAACUAUGCACGUCUUGACGGUACCUAAUCAGAAAGCCACGGCUAACUACGUG